GUGAAGUUUCACUCCAGAAGUGACAGUGUUAACAAAUACAGUGGAAGCUCUGUAAGCUGAGCUACAAGGUCACAUGCACGAGUUUUAUUUUUAACAUCCCAAAACUACUUGAUGUUUCUGUCUGGGCUUGCUCUGUGUCCUCCCAUUCUCUCCUCUUUCUUUGCUUGCAGUUCUCCCUUAUCCACCUCACUUCAACCCGUCUGAGCACAACCAGAAGAGCAAGUGUUUGGCACACCCACAGGGGCUCUAUGAUUAAGCACCGGGCUCAGAAAGCUCCCCCUGGGCAGCACAGGCACUGUGAGAGAUGUUUCAGCCGGCAGUGCCGUGCACCAAUUGAGCUCUCCACCUCCUGCAUGGUGAUCAGCUGCCGCUCUCACUGUGGGGCCACCUUCCACAUGUGCAAGGAGGAGGAACACCAGUUGCUCUGUCCCCUAGAGCAGGUCCCCUGCCUCAACUCGGCCUAUGGCUGCCCUUUUUCCAUGGCCCGUUUUAAGCUGGCGAAGCACCUCCAGGUCUGUCCAGCCAGUGUUGUCUGCUGCUCUAUGGAGUGGAAUCGCUGGCCAAACGUGGAUUCAGACACAACCCUUCACAAGAACAUUAUGAAGGAGACCUUGAACGAAGAGUGUCUGGACACUGCCUUGGCACUCAGAGACCAGAAGAUACUUUUCAGGACUUUGAAAAUAGCCAACUUGUUUCCAGAGUGGAGGAAAAAGGAUGAAGUGGAAGAGCUAAUGGAUGAAGCCAUUGGUGGGGAAGAAGGUGCUGUGGGAGGAGUAGCCUGUGGUUCCCAAGCAACUGACAACCAGUUGUCCCAGCUCAGCCAACAUGAACGUGAACUUUUGGCAAAGGACAAAGAGGGUAUGGACCUGGGGAGUUACAAAACGUGGGAGAACAUUUUCAGCAAAGAGCUCCUGGCUUGCAAGGUAACAGGCUCAGCAGACAGCACAGGACAGAAGACAGAGGAAGCUUCCAAGAAAACAGCGUCAGCCCCUCGUGCUACCAGCUCCACAGAGAAGGCAAAGGAGGUACCUGACAGGGCAGAAGAGGCAAAGGACCCAAAGCUUCAACAAGUAGCACCAAAUACAGAAAUGACAGGACUGGCUCCCUGGCAAGAAGGUGUCCUGGAGAGGCUGAAGAAGGAAGUUGGUGUAGGUGAUUACAACAUGUAUCUGGUACAUCACGGAGGAAUGCUCAUCCGCUUUGGCCAGCUAGCUGCUUGCACUCCCAAAGAAAAAGACUUUGUCUAUGGGAACUUGGAAGCUCAGGAGGUGAAGACUGUCUACACCUUCAAAGUGCCAGUUAGUUACUGCGGCAAAAGAGCACGACUAGGAGAUGCACUGGGCCACAAGAUGCCAACUUCAGACAAGUCAGUGGAUACCUCGGAACUGGGAAUAAAAAUUGAAGACCUGCCUAAGACAAAUAUAGUUAAAGCCACACUGCUGUGCGCACUGGAAAAAGAACUGAAAGGCCAUGAGAUCUCUGAAGCAAGGGGUAUCGAUGGACUCUUUGUGGAUUUUGCAACACAGACAUACAACUUUCCUCUGGAAUCCUUCUCCUCCAAUGCAGUUCUAGCAGAUAUUUUGGAUGAAAAAAGCCCACCAGAGCUCCAUGUGGAGCUCUACACUGAAUGUGUAACUAGAAGACACAACAAAAGCAGUUCAGCUUUCACAUUCACUUGCAGUCAUUUUUUCAGGAGGGAUGAGUUCCCAUCCCACUUCAAGAAUGUGCACACUGAUAUCCAGUCAUGUCUGGAUGGAUGGUUCCAGCAUCGCUGCCCACUGGCCUACCUGGGAUGUACUUUUGUUCAAAAUCACUUCCGCCCUGAUGGACUUAAGGCCAAAGUUAUAUACAGCAAGGCUCUCAAUACAUUUGCUAUUAGGCCAGAAGUAGACACCCUCCUUGGUGAAUCAGGGAAGUGCAUUUCCACAGUGGCUAAUCGAAGGAGAAAUACAGACUCGCUGAGCAGCCUCCCAGUGGAAGUGCUCAAGUACAUUGCAGGGUUCCUGGACAGCUUCAGUUUAUCUCAGCUAUCACAAGUGUCAGUGCUGAUGAGGGACAUCUGUGCCACUCUUCUUCAAGAGAGGGGAAUGGUCCUGCUCGUCUGGGAGAAAAAAAGGUAUUCCCAUGGUGGUACGUCGUGGAGAGCUCGCAAAAAGAUCUGGCAGUUCAGCAGCCUCUUCUCUAGAGUUAACAAGUGGCAGCACAAUGACAUCACGUGCAUGUCAGAGCACUUGAAGAACUGUCCCUUCUACCAAGUGGAGCACAAGACGGACCCCGUGCUGCUGACAGGCAUGUGUGAAUCUCGAGAGCAAACUCAAAAGACUUUGGUUUCUACUUUCAAGCGCAGACUCUGAACAACCUGCUUCCCCUCUGCCAUGCUACUCUCAGGGCCUUUUAAAACAAGAUUUGGGAAUUUGGGUGUAAAGAUUCUUGCUUUCAACUCUCCUUUGGACAUACAAAACGGGCUUCUACCUAGUUAUGGUUGGAACAUCCUGCAUUUUUUUUUUUUUCUACAGUAAUUUAGUUGUUCAAACUUCAUCCACACUGCUCACUGAUACCACAUGCUUUCUGGUUAUGUUUCUCUUCCUUGCUUAAUACAGCAUCCUGGAGCAAGCAAUAAGGAUCAUGUUUGAAAAGGCAUCUUCUCAACUUUGAAGCCCAUAGCCAGAAGUGUGAGCUCAGGACAUGAGGUCUGGCUUUCAUCUCACCACCUCGGGCAGGAGGACCCUACUGGGAGCUGGGACAUCUGCUAGCCUGGACCACAGCUCUUCUUGCUUGGGCUAGCCAGGCAAAAACUGGCCCAAGUGGAUGGACACAUGCUGCACUUAUUACCCCUGGUCUCAUUGCAGAUCUAGGAUAAGGCAGGCUACACAAGAAGGAGCCCUCUCUUACCGAUAAACUUUGCCGAUGCACCUGAGCUGAGCGUUUGGUAGUCAAAGGCAUUAAUUGUGUGGUGACCAAAACUGUGCUGUGUGCAGUUCAUCCUUGUCUACAUUUGUGGUUUAAGUGGUUCCUGUGAGAUUUUCAACCAUGUAAGGAUCUUUUUCUUCUCCACACACAUGCCCUCAGGAGCUAUUGUCUGAGUUGUGGCAACCGUGGAGUGGUCUCAGGAGCAGGAGUACCAGCAGUUAAUUUUUUUUUACGCUAUUUUGUUCUCUGUCCCUAGAGAUCCUUUCGGGGAAGUCUCAUAAUGCUUUUACAGAUGAGAAUAAACUUGUUUGUGCAGGUAUCCUGUGGAAAACACGAGAAGUUAUGCAGAGGAAACCGAAGCAAAUGAACAAGGGAACCUAAGCUGGGCCAAGAGUAGCUAAAGCUGGAUGCUCUGAUCCUUCAUGCUGUGGCUUGAGCCACUGCACAAAGCCAAACUGGCCAACAUUUAACAUUGUUUACAAAACUGGCCUGUCCUCAAAACAUCCCCCUAUGAAAUAGGUUCCCAAAUAUUGUCACUCUGUUUUAUGCAGGAAGUUGAGAGAGGUGAAAACAUAGAGUCAGACUUCCUAGGCCGGCCUCCACACCAGGGCCUCAUACUUCACUUGUCAUGUAUCUGACUGAAAGAUGCUGAGCUGCAGCAUGAUUCAUAGCUACAGAUCACAGCAGCUGGAAAUGCAUGUCCAAAAAUCCUGUAUCAGUAUCUGUGCUGGGUACUUAAAAUAGAGGCACUCAAAAUUUUAGACAAUUUGGGGAGGAAAAAAGAAG